UACAGAGGGUGCGAGCGUUAAUCGGAAUUACUGGGCGUAAAGGGCGCGUAGGCGGCCUGUUAAGUCGAACGUGAAAUCCCCGGGCUCAACCCGGGAACUGCGUCCGAUACUGGCAGGCUUGAAUCCGGGAGAGGGAUGUGGAAUUCCAGGUGUAGCGGUGAAAUGCGUAGAUAUCUGGAGGAACACCGGUGGCGAAGGCGGCAUCCUGGACCGGUAUUGACGCUGAGGCGCGAAAGCCAGGGGAGCAAACGGG
rnacentral:rRNA from 1 species